GUACAAGACCAAAAACAACAAACAAACAAAAACCCACAAUUGAGAAAUUGGGUGCUAAUAGGCUUUACAGGAAAUUCCUGUAAAGGAAAUAGGCUUACUCAGUUUUCAACCGAGCCUAACCGCAAACCUCAUCUAGUCGAGGGGUGUCAAAGAGUCUUAGCUGCUUCAUUUUCAGGGCAUUUCCUUCGACUGAUAGAGGGAGUUAUUUGAUUUUCCUCUAUGUGACCAUGGAUUUGACAAUUUACCUGUCUGAGUAGGAAGAGAAACAGGAGAAUCUUUGAAGAUGGGUAUUCUCAUAUGUUCUUCAGAAAGAACAGCCGGCAGUCAUUGAAGUGAUGUGAACUUCCUUCCUCUUUUUUGUCUUCAGAACAGGAAAUAAAGCUCUGGUCAGUGAAAUUCUUAAUUCCUUAUCAACCAAAUAUCAUUGAAGUUGUAGCCUUGACCCACUGAGGGGUCAACCUCUGACAGAAGACAUGCAGCUCAUAUAGAACCAGGAAAAUGCUUUGAGGAAGAGACCCUGCGGACAUGUGAGUCACCCUGAUGGGCUCUCAUCUCUUUCUGUGAGGCCACAGCAUGUGGUAACGGGACAGUGUCUCUGAGACUCUACAUUUGUACGUAAAUUCCCCUUAUUAUACCCAUUAAUAGCAGGGACCACUAUUUCAUGGUAAAUUUUGUCUGUCAAUAAAACAGAAGGACAUUAGCUCUCGCCCAAAGAGUACAUGAGAGAGCCUGGGUCACUGAGACAAAGGAAUGUCACCUGAGUAACAGGAGCUUGACUGGCAGGCAGGCGCAGUGGGUGGCGGGGGCAUGUCA